UACGGAGGGUGCGAGCGUUGUCCGGAAUCACUGGGCGUAAAGGGCGCGUAGGUGGCCUGUGGAAGUCUGCGGUGAAAGCCCGGCGCUCAACGCCGGGUCGGCCGUGGAUACUCUCGGGCUCGAGCUUACUAGAGGCAGAUGGAAUUCCGGGUGUAGCGGUGGAAUGCGUAGAGAUCCGGAAGAACACCGGUGGCGAAGGCAGGUCUCUGGGCUGACACUGACGCUCAUGCACGAAAGCGUGGGGAGCAAACAGG
rnacentral:rRNA from 1 species